rnacentral:rRNA from 1 species
AGCAGCCGCGGUAAUUCCAGCUCCAAUAGCGUAUAUUAAAGUUGUUGCAGUUAAAAAGCUCGUAGUUAAAUUUCGGGGUCAGUAGGUUGGUCGUGCCACUGGUAUGCACUGGCCUCACUGAUUCCUCCUUCUUGUAGAACCGUAAUGCCAUUAGUUUGGUGUUGCGGGGAAACAGGACUGUUACUUUGAAAAAAUUAGGGUGUUUAAAGCAGGCUAACGCCUGAAUACAUUAGCAUGGAAUAAUGAAAUAGGACGUUCGAUCCUAUUUUGUUGGUUUCUAGGAUUGACGUAAUGAUUAAUAGGGAUAGUUGGGGGCAUUAGUAUUCAAUUGUCAGAGGUGAAAUUCUUGGAUUUAUUGAAGACUAACUACUGCGAAAGCAUUUGCCAAGGAUGUUUUCAUUAAUCAAGAACGAAAGUUAGGGGAUCGAAGACGAUCAGAUACCGUCGUAGUCUUAACCAUAACCUAUGCCGACUAGGGAUCGGAUGAUGUUAAUUUUUUAAUGACUCA